UACGUAGGGACCAAGCGUUGUUCGGAUUUACUGGGCGUAAAGGGCGCGUAGGCGGCGUGGUAAGUCACUUGUGAAAUCUCUGAGCUUAACUCAGAACGGCCAAGUGAUACUGCUGUGCUAGAGUGCAGAAGGGGCAAUCGGAAUUCUUGGUGUAGCGGUGAAAUGCGUAGAUAUCAGGAAGAACACCCGUGGCGAAGGCGGUUCUCUGGGACGGUACUGACGCUGAGACGCGAAAGCGUGGGGAGCGAACAGG
rnacentral:rRNA from 1 species